rnacentral:tRNA from 1 species
GGAGAGGUGGCCGAGUGGUCGAAGGCGCUCCCCUGCUAAGGGAGUAGACCCGUUAAACGGUCUCGAGGGUUCGGAUCCCUUCCUCUCCGCCA